GAUGAACGCUGACAGAAUGCUUAACACAUGCAAGUCAACUGUGGCGGACGGGUGAGUAACGCGUAAAGAACUUGCCUCACGGAUAGGGACAACAUUUGGAAACGAAUGCUAAUACCUGAUACUGUGAGAGAGCUUUGCGUCCCAUUAGCUAGUUGGAGAGGUAACGGCUCACCAAGGCGAGGAUGGGUAGCCGGCCUGAGAGGGUGAUCGGCCACAAGGGGACUGCGACAUGGCCCUUACUCCUCCGGGAGGCAGCAGUCGGGAAUAUUGGCCAAUGGCCCAAAGUCUGAUCCAGCACUUCUGUGUGCACGAUGAAGUUUUCGGAAUGUAAAGUGCUUUCAGUUGGGAAGCGUUCUCAACAGAUGAAGUGACGGCUAAAUACGUGCCAGCAGCCGCGGUAAUAC
rnacentral:rRNA from 1 species